GUGGAUUAGAUACCCUAGUAGUCCACGCCGUAAACGAUGGAUACUAGCUGUUGGAGGUAUCGACCCCUUCAGUAGCGAAGCUAACGCGUUAAGUAUCCCGCCUGUGGAGUACGGUCGCAAGACUAAAACAUAAAGGAAUUGACGGGGACCCGCACAAGCGGUGGAUCGUGUUCUUUAAUUCGAUGCUAAACGAAGAACCUUACCAGGGCUUGACAUCCAGGGAAUUUCUGCGAAAGCAGUUAGUGCCUUUUGGAACCCUGUGACAGGUGAUGCACGGCCGUCGCCAGCU
rnacentral:rRNA from 1 species